CAUAGCAAAGGUCAUCAUAUCAAAUGCAGAACAUAACUGAGUGUCCAUGACAUGAAAUAAAAACAUAGAAAGAUGAUCCCCACCCCAUGUUGGUCUUGGUCACACGAAAGAAAAAAAUAAGUAUGAGUGAGGAGGAUUUACAGAUCUAGGGGCCCGUCGGCGUCUCAUAAUCCAUCCGUGAUGCAGCAACA